UCUGUUGGUUUCUAAGGAGAUGGAGAUUAGAUUCCACCUCCUGGUGGGUGCUGGCGCAGUGGGCAGCGUGGGCACCCAGCAGACUCGGCUGGUAUAUUGCAUGGUGUCAGGGACCUAGGUCCUUAUAACUUGUCGCUCUACCUUCUUCAACAAGUGGCUUCCACCCCACAGCCCGAGAUGGUCCCCUGGUGCCACAGCCAUCAGAGCCUCAUUGCAGCCAGCAGGAAGGCAGAAGACAGAAACCAGAGGCAAAGGGCUCACUCUGUGCAUCUAAUGGGCCAAAACCUAGUCCUGUGGCCACAGCUGGAUGCAAAGGAGGCUUGAGGAUAUUGUCUCCAAACUGGGAAGCCACGUGCCUCACUUAAAACCAUGGCUUCUAGAAUUAAAGGGAAGGGGAAGAGCGGUGUCAAGACAUAUA